AUUGAACGCUGGCGGCAUGCUUUACACAUGCAAGUCGAACGGUAACAGGCCUUCGGGUGCUGACGAGUGGCGAACGGGUGAGUAAUGCAUCGGAACGUGCCCAGAGGUGGGGGAUAACGUAGCGAAAGCUGUGCUAAUACCGCAUGUGAUCUGAGGAUGAAAGCGGGGGACCAGGCAGCAAUGUUUGGCCUCGCGCCUUUGGAGCGGCCGAUGUCAGAUUAGGUAGUUGGUGGGGUAAAGGCCUACCAAGCCGACGAUCUGUAGCUGGUCUGAGAGGACGACCAGCCACACUGGGACUGAGACACGGCCCAGACUCCUACGGGAGGCAGCAGUGGGGAAUUUUGGACAAUGGGCGCAAGCCUGAUCCAGCAAUGCCGCGUGCGGGAAGAAGGCCUUCGGGUUGUAAACCGCUUUUGUACGGAACGAAAAGGCUCUGGCUAAUACCUGGGGCUGAUGACGGUACCGUAAGAAUAAGCACCGGCUAACUACGUG
rnacentral:rRNA from 1 species